rnacentral:lncRNA from 1 species
GUGCCAGACAAGAAUGGCCUGCUAGGAGACCCAGCCAGCUCCCAGGGCCUUUCUGCUGCUUCCUCUACCCCUGUAUUUCACUCAGCUCUCCGAAUUGACUCAGCUCCAGGGAUGACCUGCCCAGAGAGAGGGAAGCUAGAGAGGCAGUCUGGCUACAGCGGUUUUGUGGUGCUGUGGUGUGCUCCUUUCAGUUCGAACUUCCUGGCUGCUUUGUUUACACUGUGAGGGGAAAACUGCCUACUCAAGCCUUAGUAAUGGUGGACGCCCCUCCCUCCAUCAAGCUCGAGCAUCCCAAGUCGACUUCAGACUGUUAUGCUGUCAGCGAGAAUUUCAAGCCAGUGGAUCUUAGCUUGCUGGGCUCCGUGGGGGUGGGAUCUGCUGAGCUAGACCACUCAGCUCCCUGGCUUCAGCACCCCUUUCCAGGGCAGUGAAUGGUUCUGUCUCACUGGCAUUCCAGGCGCCACUGGGGUAUGAAAAAAAAACUCUUGCAGCUAAGCUCAGUGUCUGCCCAAACGGCCGCCCAGUUUUGUGCUUGAAACCCAGGUCCCUGGUGGCAUGGGCACCCGAGAGAAUCUCCUGGUCUGUGGGUUGUGAAGACCACAGGAAAAGUGAGUAUCUGGGCUGGGGUGAAACAUUCCUCACAGUACAGUCCUCACGGCCUCCCCUGGCUAGGGGAGGAAGUUCCCUGAACCCUUGCACUUCCCAGGUGAGGCAACGCCCCACCCUGCUUUGCCUUGCCCUCUGUGGGCUGCACCCACUGUCUAACCAGUCCCAGUGAGAUGAGCUGGGUACCUCAGUUGGAAAUGCAGAUAUCACCUGCCUUCUGCGUUGAUCUUACUGGGAGCUGCAGACUGGAGCUGUUCCUAUUCUGCCAUCUUGCCAGGUCUCCCAAGUCUGUAUUCUUUAAUAUGAGAAUAGUUAACUGGGCACAAUGGCUCACACCUGUAAUUCCAAGACUUUGGGAGGCAGAGGAGGAAGGCUCACUUGAGGCCAGGUGUUACAGACCAGCAACAUAGCCAGACCCCAUCUCUACAAAAAAAGUUUUUUAAAAUUAGCCAGGUGUGGUGGGUGGCAUGCACCUGAGUGCUAGCUACUUAAAAGGCUGAGGUAGGAGGAUUGCUUGAGCCCAGGUGUUUAAGACCACCAUGAGCCAUGAUCGUGCCAUGGCACUCCAGCCAUGACAAAGCAAAACCCUGUCUCAAAAACAAUUUUUUUUUAAUUUAAAAUUUAAAAAAAGAAAGAAUAGCAAAGGUCACCAAUGUUGACACUAUAAGGAUAAUCUCCUGGGAUGGGACAGAAGUGGUUAUUCCAUAGUGUCCCAACUCUGUUCCUAAGGAUUCAACUUCUUGUGGCAAAGUAAUGACCUCCCAGAAAUGUCCUAAUCCUUGGAAGCUGUGAAUGUAUUAGGUUACAUGGUAAAGGGAAGUUAAGGUUGUAAACGGAAUUAAGGUUGCUAAUCAGCUGAGUAUGAUAUAGGGAGAUCAUCCUAGAUAACCUGGGUGACUCCAAUGCAACCACAAGGGCUUUUAUAAGUGGAAAUGGGAAGUAAAAGAGCAUGCAAGUGACAGUGAUGGUAGCAUGAGAAUGACCCACUCAAAUGUUCCUGGCUUUGAAGAUAGGAGGGGAAACAAGCCAAGGAAUGCCAGCAGCCCCAGAAAGCUGGAAAAGGUAAGGAAAUUGAUUCCCUUCCAGAGCUUCCAGAAAUUAAUGCAUCCCUGCUGACAUCUUUAUUUUGGCCCAAAUAAAAUAAAGUCUGACCUUUAUUUUAGGUCAAACUAAAAUAAAGUUUUAGUUUAUUUUAACACCAGACUCUGACCUACACCACACCAGACUCUGACCUACAGAACUGUAACACAUUUAUGUUGUUUUAAAUAGCUAAAUUUGUGGUGAUUUGUUAUAACAGCAACAGAAAACUAAUACACUUUCCCUUGUGUUUCUUGUUCAUUAUCAUGUCAUGUCCCCUCUGGCCUCUAAGAGCUGAUAGCUCCCUCUUUCAACCCCAGACCUAGUAUCAAUAUAUCUAUGCACUGAUACCCAGUAACAAAGCUAUGACAUGGCUAGAGCACUGAAACAAGACUUGACCAAAAUUUGGGGGAUGACAGUAGCAUUACCUUAGCAGAACACUGUAAUUUACAAACUGAUUUCUACCUCAUCAAUUUAUUGUGUUAAUUAAAUGACAUAACAGAUGUUAAGUGCCACACAGCCUAGCCUAGAGAAAGCAGUCAACAAAUAUUAGCUGUUAUUAUUGUGGUGAUUGUUGUUUUUUGUAAUCCCCUAGUCAAACAGGGAGUCUUUGGCUAUGAGUGUGUGAGGAAGCUGUAGCAACUGAUUGACCAUAUUAAGAUAAACAAGAGACAGGGCUGAUUUGGGAUGAAGAUGGUACAAAUAGUGUAAUGGGAAAGUGCUGCAACACAACCCAUAGCAAUAGUGAGUGACAACAGCCUUCAUGCAGGCAAAAAGACCAAAGGGUAACAGUGCACAAAAUAAAAAGCAUGAGUCAACCAUUUGUUCACAGAUCUUUUCAGUAAGAUGUAUUUGCAUGUAAUGGGAUAUCAAAGAAUCAUAAGAAAGAAAGACCUAAGGAAGAAGAUGCAAAGGAAAAUGCUUUGUUAACAAUAACAACAAUAAUAAUAGCUAACACUUAUCGAACAUUCAUUCUGUGCCAGAUUGUGUGCUAAGCUCUUUAAAAAUAAAAAUAACAUGAGCUCAUUUGAGUCAAGAUUAUUAAAAUCAAGGAAACAUUUCAAUGGAUAACAUUCCUCCAUGCCCACAGCUCUUGUUGUCAAAGUGUUAUUUUAACCCUCUUUUAGGCUAAGCCUGAGUGUGCAGAACCAGAGGCUACUCAUGUCUACUAAGAACAAAUUUAGACUAGAGUUUAUCCCACGUAUCAUUUUUACCAGUUGUUAAGUGGAGUUGGAAAUCCAUAAUCCUAACAAUGUUGCUUAGAAACUACAAAUCAGCAAAGAACAACACUCUAAAAGGACAUUAGGACCACAACAAUUUGACAAGUUCUGCAAAGACAUAGUCCAGUGCACUCUGAAUAAAUGCAUUAGGGCUAAAGGGUUCUCAACAAUCUCUCUCUAAAUGCACUUACCCUUAGCUUCUUUUAGGUGAAGGAAUCAUCCCAAAAUAAUCAUCUUCUAAGUGAAAUUCACGAUGUAAAACGUCAUGAAAAACAAGAAUGGCAUAUAAUUAUAAGAAAGCUAAGAAAGUCUGAG